UACGUAGGGCGCAAGCGUUAUCCGGAAUUAUUGGGCGUAAAGAGCUCGUAGGCGGUUCGAUAAGUCGGACGUGAAAUCUCCACGCUCAACGUGGAGGGGCCGUUCGAUACUGUCGUGACUCGAGUCCGGUAGGGGAGUGUGGAAUUCCCGGUGUAGCGGUGAAAUGCGCAGAAAUCGGGAGGAACACCCGUAGCGAAGGCGGCACUCUGGGCCGGUACUGACGCUGAGGAGCGAAAGCG
rnacentral:rRNA from 1 species